GCAGAUAAAUCAAACUCGGAUGAAUAUGAUCCUUGGAAUCCUCCCUAUCCUCCAUUUGUUCCUCCUGUUGGGGCGGACCCUAGUACGGCUAUCAGUUUAUCCUUUGAGUGGACAGAUGAGAAAGAUGCUGAACUUGGUGCCCACAGAGCAUCCAGUAUAAUAUUUCCAGACCGCACCCCUCAGACGGUGAAUCUUGCCUUCCACGAUACAUUGCACCGUUUAGUGCCCAUCCUUGAUAAGGAUAGCGUCCA